GACACGCUCCUUAGAUCCACCUCUGGGGAAUCCUCCAUCACUGAUUCUGUACUCUCUGUACUGAGUGCUGCAGCUUUAGUGUGGAGGUUCCCAGCAGCUUUUCUGGCUGGACAGUUGGAGGUGCUUGAGUCAUUGGCGUGUGAGAGCAGUCUACCUGCACCUUCAGCCUAGUUGCUGCCCUGGCACCUUUGCUGGACUUUUACCAGAGCAGAUGAGCUGAAGAGCGGACAUG